rnacentral:rRNA from 1 species
UACGAAGGGUGCAAGCGUUACUCGGAAUUACUGGGCGUAAAGCGUGCGUAGGUGGUUCGUUAAGUCUGAUGUGAAAGCCCUGGGCUCAACCUGGGAAUGGCAUUGGAUACUGGCGACCUAGAGUGCGGUAGAGGGGUGUGGAAUUCCCGGUGUAGCAGUGAAAUGCGUAGAUAUCGGGAGGAACAUCUGUGGCGAAGGCGACACCCUGGACCAGCACUGACACUGAGGAGCGAAAGCCAGGGGAGCAAACGGG